ensembl:lncRNA
CGGAGCUGCAGUCACUCCCAUCCAGAUCUGUCUGGGCUCAGAGGACGGAGCCAUUCAUUCUUCUGCGGUCCGGGCAAAACGUGGAGGAGGAUGAAGCGACUGUGAGGAAAAGAAAGAAGAAGAAGAAGAAGACGAAGAAGAAGAAGAAGAAGAAGAAAUCAAGCCAGGAUCGAGCUGCACACAAACCUCGGAGAAGACGCGAGAAGAUCCUCCAACAGGAUCCUCCAACUUUUCGACUGACUGAGCCAACACUUCCACGUUGAGAGGAGCUGAGAGGACUCUUACAUCACCUGGAUUCAACUGAGGAGAUUUGUCUCUGCGUCCACCACCGGAUUCCACACAAAAGAUCUACAUGAUACCAGUGACUGAAGUCUGACAGGGAAAGAUGAAUGACCAGCAGCUCACAGGAGGACUCUGUUGAGUCUGUAUGAAUGAUGCUCCAGCCUGGCAUGUGUCUGCUGGAUGCAUGUGGAUCUUUACUCCCUUCUGAUUCUCUG